rnacentral:rRNA from 1 species
GACGACGACUCCUACGGGAGGCAGCAGUGGGGAAUCUUGGACAAUGGGGGCAACCCUGAUCCAGCCAUGCCGCGUGAGUGAAGAAGGCCUUCGGGUUGUAAAGCUCUUUGUCAGGGAAGAAACGGUGGGAGCUAAUAUCUCCUGCUAAUGACGGUACCUGAAGAAUAAGCACCGGCUAACUCCGUGCCAGCAGCCGCGGUAAUACGGAGGGUGCGAGCCUUAAUCGGAAUUACUGGGCGUAAAGCGCAUGCAGGCGGCCUGUUAAGUCAGAUGUGAAAGCCCGGGGCUUAACCUCGGAAUUGCAUUUGAAACUGGCAGGCUAGAGUCUUGUAGAGGGGGUAGAAUUUCAGGUGUAGCGGUGAAAAUGCGUAGAGAUCUGAAGGAAUACCAGUGGCGAAGGCGGCCCCCUGGACAAAGACUGACGCUCAGAUGCGAAAGCGUGGGGAGCAAACAGGAUUAGAUACCCUGGUAG